CUAAUCAUUGUACAAUAGGUGGUCACAAGAAAGAAAUUCAUCAACCAAGCAUCCUGAAUAGUGAGAAAAUAUCCAUUUGCAAACCAGGAAGUAGCUCCAUCAGACAAUGGACUCAUCAGCACCUUGAACUUUGACUCUUCAACCUCCCAAACUUCUCUGAGGGAUACUCUUUCUUCAGCUCCAAGGAGAUGGAAACAGCACAGGUACAGCUGUCUUCAUGUUUUCCCAGGAGUACAGGCCCAGGCUACCAGGCGUCUUCCCGCAUAACUUCAUGUUCAUCCCUGUUCCACCAGAUACUCUGAGGCAUUCACUGCUCAUAGAAGAUAUGAUAAAAAUAACAUUUAUGGUGAUCAUUCUGUGUGUGGAUAUAGAGAAGAAGGCUACUUCUGACAGAGAGAAGAAGGAAGGAUUUGAGAAGAGCUCCACAGAGGGAGGGGGGCAAUACCUAAGAUGAGGCUGGAAGGAAAUAAAGGAGUUGGCCAAGAAGCCAGAGGAGGGUGGUCCUUCCAGAGAAAACAGCCUCAAGUGGAAAGAUGUAAAGUUCUCAAAUGGAUGCAUAUUGAGGAUAUACUCUUAAGUGAAAUAAAUAAG